rnacentral:rRNA from 1 species
AUACGGAGGGUGCAAGCGUUACUCGGAAUCACUGGGCGUAAAGCGCGCGCAGGCGGCUAUUUAAGUUGGAUGUGAAAGUCUACGGCUCAACCGUAGAACUGCAUCCAAAACUAUUUAGCUAGAGUGUGGGAGAGGAAGAUGGAAUUAGUUGUGUAGGGGUAAAAUCCGUAGAGAUAACUAGGAAUACCAAAAGCGAAGGCAAUCUUCUGGAACACUACUGACGCUGAGGCGCGAAAGCGUGGGGAGCAUACAGGAUUAGAAACCCUAGUAGUCC